rnacentral:rRNA from 1 species
UCAGGCCUAACACAUGCAAGUCGAACGGUAACGCGGGGCAACCUGGCGACGAGUGGCGAACGGGUGAGUAAUACAUCGGAACGUGCCCAGUAGUGGGGGAUAGCCCGGCGAAAGCCGGAUUAAUACCGCAUACGACCUACGGGUGAAAGCGGGGGAUCGCAAGACCUCGCGCUAUUGGAGCGGCCGAUGUCAGAUUAGCUAGUUGGUGGGGUAAAGGCCUACCAAGGCGACGAUCUGUAGCUGGUCUGAGAGGACGACCAGCCACACUGGGACUGAGACACGGCCCAGACUCCUACGGGAGGCAGCAGUGGGGAAUUUUGGACAAUGGGGGAAACCCUGAUCCAGCCAUGCCGCGUGCGGGAAGAAGGCCUUCGGGUUGUAAACCGCUAUUGUCGGGGAAGAAACGGUCUGCGCUAUACCGCGGA